AUUGAACGCUGGCGGCAUGCUUUACACAUGCAAGUCGAACGGUCACAGGCCGCAAUGUCCUGACGAGUGGCGAACGGGUGAGUAAUGCUACGGAAUGUGCCCCCUCGUUGGGGGUAAGUACUCGAAAGAGUAGCUAAUACCGCAUACCAUAUAUUGUAUAAAGCGGGGUGCCUCAAUGCUUCGCGCGAUUGUUGCGGUCCCUGACAGAUUAGGUAGUUGGUGAGGUAAAGGCUCACCAAGGCAACGAUCUGUAGCUGGUCUGAGAGGAUGAGCCGCCACACUGGAACUGAGACACGGCCCAGACUCCUACGGGAGGCAGCAGUAGGGAAUUUUGGACAAUGGGCGAAAGCCUGACCCAGCAAUGCCGCGUGAAGGAAGAAGGCCUUCGGAUUGUAAAAUGCUUUUAUACGGAAAGAAAAGGCUCUGGAUAAUACCCGCAGCUAAUGACGGUACCGUAAGAAAAAGCACCGGCUAACUACGUG
rnacentral:rRNA from 1 species